GACGAACGCUGGCGGCGUGCUUAACACAUGCAAGUCGAACGAGGAGCGAUGGAAGCUUGCUUCUAUCAAUCUUAGUGGCGAACGGGUGAGUAACGCGUAAUCAACCUGCCCUUCAGAGGGGGACAACAGUUGGAAACGACUGCUAAUACCGCAUACGAUCUGACCUCGGCAUCGAGGAUAGAUGAAAGGUGGCCUCUACAUGUAAGCUAUCACUGAAGGAGGGGAUUGCGUCUGAUUAGCUAGUUGGAGGGGUAACGGCCCACCAAGGCGAUGAUCAGUAGCCGGUCUGAGAGGAUGAACGGCCACAUUGGGAAUGAGACACGGCCCAGACUCCUACGGGAGGCAGCAGUGGGGAAUCUUCCGCAAUGGACGAAAGUCUGACGGAGCAACGCCGCGUGAGUGAUGACGGCCUUCGGGUUGUAAAGCUCUGUUAAUCGGGACGAAAGGCCUUUUUGCGAAUAGUGAGAAGGAUUGACGGUACCGGAAUAGAAAGCCACGGCUAACUACGUG
rnacentral:rRNA from 1 species